ACAAAGGGGAUUUUGUCAGGGUUGUAUCCUACCUUCUUGAGGUAGGAAGAAACCUCCUUUACGAUUUCAUCGUACCUAGCCUUGGAGUACUUGGGGGUGGUAGCGUCCAUCUUGUUACAGCAGCAAGUCAUUUGCUUGAAACCAAGGGUGAAAGCAAGCAAUGCAUGUUCAAGGGAUCCAUCUGCACAAGGAAUAAAGCUGGUUAGCAAACACACAUCAAUCUUCAAUUUCAAAGCCACUAAAAAUACAAGCAAACCUUGUUACAGCAGCAAAUCAUUUGCUUGACACCAAGGGUGAAAGCAAGCAAUGCAUGUUCACGGGUCUGUCCAUCCUUAG
rnacentral:lncRNA from 1 species